UACAGAGGGGGCAAGCGUUGUUCGGAAUUACUGGGCGUAAAGAGCGCGCAGGCGGUCGUUCAAGUCGAGUGUGAAAGCCCCCGGCUCAACUGGGGAGGGUCACUCGAUACUGAUCGACUGGAAGGCAGGAGAGGGAAGCGGAAUUCCCGGUGUAGUGGUGAAAUGCGUAGAUAUCGGGAGGAACACCAGUGGCGAAGGCGGCUUCCUGGCCUGUUCUUGACGCUGAGGCGCGAAAGCUAGGGGAGCAAACGGG
rnacentral:rRNA from 1 species